rnacentral:rRNA from 1 species
CUACGUGCCAGCAGCCGCGGUAAUACGGAGGAUACGAGCGUUAUCCGGAAUUAUUGGGUUUAAAGGGUGCGUAGGUGGCGUAUUAAGUCAGUGGUGAAAAGCUGCAGCUCAACUGUAGUCUUGCCGUUGAAACUGAUAUGCUAGAGAGGAGACGAGGUAUGCGGAAUGUGUGGUGUAGCGGUGAAAUGCAUAGAUAUCACACAGAACGCCGAUUGCGAAGGCAGCGUACCAGGCUCCGUCUGACACUGAAGCACGAAAGCGUGGGGAUCAAACAGGAUUAGAUACCCUGGUAGUCCACGCAGUAAACGAUGAAUACUAGAUUUUUGCGAUAUACUGUAAGAGUCUAAGCGAAAGCGAUAAGUAUUCCACCUGGGGAGUACGCCGGCAACGGUGAAACUCAAAGGAAUUGACGGGGGCCCGCACAAGCGGAGGAACAUGUGGUUUAAUUCGAUGAUCCGCGAGGAACCUUACCCGGGAUUGAA